rnacentral:lncRNA from 1 species
UUUUCUCUAAAACAACAAAAAUUAUAAACUGACUCUACCACACUCUCUCCCUUAUUCUCGUACGCCCUAUUUCUCCAACCUUUUCUCUCACUCGAUUCUCAGCCUCCUUGUACAUAAACAUAACAAAAUCAACUAUGUAAAACCUCUCUCAAGCCUGCCCAUAAAAAAUAGAGAACAUGAAAUCAAGCAAGAAAAUAAGCAAAAUCCCUAAACCCCAAACAAAAUUCCCAAAACCCAAAUUCAAUAUUUGUUAAAAUGUAAACAUACAGUAGCAUUUAUCAAAGGGGGAAAGGGACUCAAACAUGGCACAAUCAUAUAAACAUAAGUAGAGGACACAGACACGAGGUGAUGAAGUACCAAAUCGGUGGAGAAAAGAUUCAAUGAAAUUUGAAAUCUUCUAGGUGUGUGUUUUGCUCUCCUCCCUUCCUUAUGCUUCUUUCCUUCUUUUUCAUUUCUAUUUGUGCUUUGAUUUUUUAUGCAAAUUUUCGAGUUCUGUGGUGGUGAGGGUAUUAGUGUUUUUUUUUUGUAUUUUUGCGUGUGUGUAUGUAUUGUGUUCUUUUUGUUGUCUGUGGCUAGGGUUUUUCUGAUGAUUGUGGUGAUGAGUAGUGUAUUUUUUUAUAGUGGAAAUGAGUAGGGUUUUUUUUGAAAGAUAAGAAUGAAGGUUGUACUAUAUGAUGAGAUGUGAUUUAGGUGUAAUUGGGAGUAGAGCAGAUGGUGGACUGGACAAAUUCUGUUGGUCCUGCUUUAAUAUUUUGUUAUUGUACUAUGUCAUUAUAGCGAUUUUCUUGCUCAUUUUCCUUCCUUUUUCUCAAUUUCGUCUCUUGUUUUUCUACUGGAGUAACUAUUGGUGAAGUUGGAAAUUGCUUGUUGAUUUUUUUGAAUUGAUAUUGUACUAAUUAUUGUGGUAAAAAAAUGAAGAAAGAAAUGAACUCUUGCUUUUUUGAAUUUUAAACUUUUCUCAUUGCAGUUUGGAAUGAUCUUAAUUGAAUCCCUUUGUUUUUGUGUGAUAGGUUUUUGUAUGAAUGGUGAACUCUAAGUCUUGACAAGGAUUAGUUUUGGAAAGAAUGUGGUCACUUGAGGAUAAUCUUAAAAACCUAAUGUAGCCUUGAAGAAAUGGAUCCCAAAUUGUGAUGAAGAAGUGGAUUGAACAUUGGAGAUUAUAGGGUUUUUUAUUUUUGGUAGAAUUUGGUUAGUUUCAUACAAAUGUAAACAAAUGUAUAUGUUUGUAGCAUUAAGUGUAAUUUGUCACAAAUGACAUACUUUCCAUUUUUUAAAACAUAUUUGGUUGAAUCAAUG